rnacentral:rRNA from 1 species
CAGCCGCCACGGUAACACGUAGGGCGCAAGCGUUGUCCGGAAUUAUUGGGCGUAAAGAGCUCGUAGGCGGUCUGUCGCGUCUGGUGUGAAAUCCCGAGGCUCAACCUCGGGCUUGCAUCGGGUACGGGCAGACUAGAGUGCGGUAGGGGAGACUGGAAUUCCUGGUGUAGCGGUGGAAUGCGCAGAUAUCAGGAGGAACACCGAUGGCGAAGGCAGGUCUCUGGGCCGCAACUGACGCUGAGGAGCGAAAGCAUGGGGAGCGAACAGGAUUAGAUACCCCGGUAGUCCCUGUCUCUUAUAC